AGAGUUUGAUCCUGGCUCAGGAUGAACGCUAGCGGCAGGCUUAACACAUGCAAGUCGAGGGGCAGCGGGGAGGAAGCUUGCUUUCUCCGCCGGCGACCGGCGCACGGGUGAGUAACACGUAUGCAACCUGCCCCUGUCAGGGGGACAACCCGCCGAAAGGCGGGCUAAACCCGCGUACAUGCCACCGGGGCAUCCCGGAGGCAGGAAAGGCUUCGGCCGGACAGGGAUGGGCAUGCGGCGCAUUAGGCAGUAGGCGGGGUAACGGCCCACCUAACCGACGAUGCGUAGGGGUUCUGAGAGGAAGGUCCCCCACACUGGUACUGAGACACGGACCAGACUCCUACGGGAGGCAGCAGUGAGGAAUAUUGGUCAAUGGGCGAGAGCCUGAACCAGCCAAGUCGCGUGAAGGAUGACGGCCCUACGGGUUGUAAACUUCUUUUGUCAGGGAGCAAUUGGGUCCACGCGUGGGCUUAGCGAGAGUACCUGAAGAAAAAGCAUCGGCUAACUCCGUGCCAGCAGCCGCGGUAAUACGGAGGAUGCGAGCGUUAUCCGGAUUUAUUGGGUUUAAAGGGUGCGUAGGCGGAAUAUCAAGUCAGCGGUAAAAAUUCGGGGCUCAACCCCGUCGUGCCGUUGAAACUGAUGUUCUUGAGUGGGCGAGAAGUAUGCGGAAUGCGUGGUGUAGCGGUGAAAUGCAUAGAUAUCACGCAGAACUCCGAUUGCGAAGGCAGCAUACCGGCGCCCAACUGACGCUGAAGCACGAAAGCGUGGGUAUCGAACAGGAUUAGAUACCCUGGUAGUCCACGCAGUAAACGAUGAAUGCUAAUUGUCCGGAGGGAUUGACCUCUGGGUGAUACAGCGAAAGCGUUAAGCAUUCCACCUGGGGAGUACGCCGGCAACGGUGAAACUCAAAGGAAUUGACGGGGGCCCGCACAAGCGGAGGAACAUGUGGUUUAAUUCGAUGAUACGCGAGGAACCUUACCCGGGCUCAAACGCAGGAGGAAUACAUUUGAAAGGGUGUAGCUCUACGGAGUCUUCUGCGAGGUGCUGCAUGGUUGUCGUCAGCUCGUGCCGUGAGGUGUCGGCUUAAGUGCCAUAACGAGCGCAACCCCCGCGUGCAGUUGCUAACAGAUAACGCUGAGGACUCUGUCGAGACUGCCGGCGCAAGCUGCGAGGAAGGUGGGGAUGACGUCAAAUCAUCAUGCCCCUUAUGAUUUGGGCUACACACGUGCUACAAUGGCGUAAACAGAGGGAAGCGAGCCCGCGAGGGGGAGCAAAUCCCAAAAAUAACGUCCCAGUUCGGAUUGUAGUCUGCAACCCGACUACACGAAGCUGGAAUCGCUAGUAAUCGCGGAUCAGAAUGUCGCGGUGAAUACGUUCCCGGGUCUUGCACUCACCGCCCGUCAAG
rnacentral:rRNA from 1 species